rnacentral:rRNA from 1 species
GUGUCAGCCGCCGCGGUAAAACGUAGGAGGCUAGCGUUAUCCGGAUUUACUGGGCGUAAAGCGCGUGCAGGCGGUGUUCUAAGUUGGGCAUAAAAUCUCCCGGCUCAACUGGGAGGGGCUGUCCAAUACUGGGGCACUUGAGGGUAGGAGAGGGAAGUGGAAUUCCCGGUGUAGCGGUAAUAUGCGCAGAUAUCGGGAGGAACACCAGUGGCGAAGGCGGCUUCCUGGUCUACACCUGACGCUAAGACGCGAAAGCUAGGGGAGCGAACGGGAUUAGAUACCCCGGUAGUCCUAGCUGUAAACGAUGGAUACUAGGUGUUGGUGGUAUUGACCCCAUCAGCGCCGAAGCUAACGCGUUAAGUAUCCCGCCUGGGGACUACGACCGCAAGGUUAAAACUCAAAUGAAUUGACGGGG